GCCGACGUAGCUCAGUGGUAGAGCAGCUGUUUCGUAAACAGCAGGCCAAGAGUUCGAAUCUCUUCGUCGGCU
rnacentral:tRNA from 1 species